ACCUAGUCGGCAUGGAUGAACUCGAAUGAUCAAGCAACCUUAUUCAAGACUUAAUCGACCAAGUUGGCUAAGUAAGUGAGAUCAGAUGGAGGGUCUGCUGAUGCUUGCCUUAGACACCAAUGAAUUGACCAGAUAAGCAUGCUCUCAACUAAAAAUCAUCGAUCAAAAUAUCAAAUUUACUUUAGACAUCAAUUGGUCAAUCAGAAUCGAAUAGGUUAGC
rnacentral:lncRNA from 1 species